AGCAGUAGCCACGGGAAUACGUAGGUGGCAAGCGUUGUCCGGAAUUAUUGGGCGUAAAGGGCUCGCAGGCGGUUUCUUAAGUCUGAUGUGAAAGCCCCCGGCUCAACCGGGGAGGGUCAUCGGAAACUGGGAAACUUGAGUGCAGAAGAGGAGAGUGGAAUUCCACGUGUAGCGGUGAAAUGCGUAGAGAUGUGGAGGAACACCAGUGGCGAAGGCGACUCUCUGGUCUGUAACUGACGCUGAGGAGCGAAAGCGUGGGGAGCGAACAGGAUUAGAUACCCCCGUAGUCCCUGUCUCUUAUAC
rnacentral:rRNA from 1 species